UACGGGGGGGCAAGCGUUGUUCGGAAUUACUGGGCGUAAAGGGCUCGGAGGCGGCCAACUAAGUCAGACGUGAAAUCCCUCGGCUUAACCGGGGAACUGCGUCUGAUACUGGUUGGCUUGAAUCCGGGAGAGGGAUGUGGAAUUCCAGGUGUAGCGGUGAAAUGCGUAGAUAUCUGGAGGAACACCGGUGGCGAAGGCGGCAUCCUGGACCGGUAUUGACGCUGAGGAGCGAAAGCCAGGGGAGCAAACGGG
rnacentral:rRNA from 1 species